rnacentral:rRNA from 1 species
UACGUAGGGUGCGAGCGUUAAUCGGAAUUACUGGGCGUAAAGUGUGCGCAGGCGGCCGAGCAAGUCGAGUGUGAAAGCCCCGAGCUUAACUUGGGAACUGCGCUCGAAACUACUUGGCUAGAGUGUGGCAGAGGGAGGUGGAAUUCCACGUGUAGCGGUGAAAUGCGUAGAGAUGAUGGAGGAACACCGAUGGCGAAGGCAGCCUCCUGGGCCAACACUGACGCUCAUGCACGAAAGCGUGGGGAGCAAACAG